rnacentral:rRNA from 1 species
UACAGAGGGUGCAAGCGUUGUUCGGAAUUAUUGGGCGUAAAGCGCGUGUAGGCGGCCCGGUAAGUCCGCUGUGAAAGUCGGGGGCUCAACCCUCGAAUGCCGGUGGAUACUGUCGGGCUAGAGUGCGGGAGAGGCGAGUGGAAUUCCUGGUGUAGCGGUGAAAUGCGCAGAUAUCAGGAGGAACACCAAUUGCGAAGGCAGCUCGCUGGAACGUAACUGACGCUGAGACGCGAAAGCGUGGGGAGCAAACAGG